GUGACUUCCUUAAGCACUGGGUUAGGCAGUCGAGUUCCACCCUUGAAGCCGGUUACAACACUACUAAAUACAACCCGCCGUAGUUGCUGCCUGGCCUUUUACUCCGCCCUGGCUCCAGUUACUACACUCUACAGAGACAUUCGUACAUAGACGCUGCAUUGAGACCCAAAUAGUGCAUGACUCCCGUAAGCAAAGCCCUGCACCACUCCUGGAAGCACAAUACGCGAUGAAGAACCCGGAGCCUGGAGCCUUCUCGUGCCGUUCACAUGACGCCAAAUACCGCCACCAUUACGCCGUCUCAGCCCCACAAUGCCAACAACCACUACCGCCACCACCGCCGUCACUGCCAACAUGAUCAUCAGCCCUCACUGUCUGGGAGAAAGGAUGUUUUACCCGCUCUUGCUCAGAAUGGAGGAACAAAACUGAACAGUGCAGGAUGACAAUGAUUAUGAAGUGAUGCAGCGCAGUAUUACCUUCACUUGUACUGCCAAUAUUACAUGUCACACGCCAA